rnacentral:rRNA from 1 species
UAAACUACGAUUAGAUACCCUAUUAUUCUAAGUGUUAAAAUUGUAUACUUGAGUAGUAUUAGUUAUGUUCUUAAAACUCAAAGAAUUUGGCGGUGUUUUAUUCUCCCCAGAGGAACCUGUUCCGUAAUCGAUAGUCCACGUUUUACCCAACUUAAUUUUGUAUUCAGCUUGUAUACCUCCGUCAUAAGAUUAUACUUAAAGGUUAUAUUCUAAAUUUAUUAUUUUAAAAAAUGUCAGGUCAAGGUGCAGCUUAUGAUUAAGAGGUAAUGGGUUACAUUAAUUUAAAUUAUACGAAUUAUAAAAAUGAAAAUAUUAUAUGAAGGUGGAUUUGGUUGUAACGAAGUAUGCCAGAAAAAUUUCGUGAUGGUAGCUCUAAAACAUGCACACAUCGCCCG